UAACAUCUAUCAAGCAGCUUGCUGUCUUGCAUUGGGCUGUCACUGCAUUCUCCUCUGAAUACUGUGUAGCUCUAAGAUUUGCUGACUGAGUUACAGUCUCUCAACUCUUGGGAUUUUUCAUCCUGGGUUGUUAGCAACUGUUGCAGUCUUGCAGGUUGGACCUUCUUAGUUGUAGAGGUAUCGACACACAUCAUAUCAUUU
rnacentral:misc_RNA from 1 species